ACCUGAAUCCAACCUCUGUAUCAUUUGAUAUUACAUAUCUUCGUUAAACGCAUCAUUUUGAAUGAUAUGUAUGCAUAAUAGGAUGUAGUUGAGUGGGUAGAUGCAUGUAAGAAAUUGCUUUAUCAUAUUUCUCUUAUGUAUUUAUUUAUUUAUUCUUUUUUUUGUUGUUGUUGUUAGAACUAUCAAUUCUGAUAACUGAAGUGAAGACAGCCCUGACAUCUCAUUGUUCAUCAGUGCUAUCAGUCAGCUCUGACUUGGAAGGUGGAAAGAGUUUCCCUGCAGAGCACUCCCCACCAAAAGGAACAGGUGGAAAUUUCUCCUGGUUCAUGUGUAUUCAUAGACAGACUGGCUUAGGCUGUGGUCCAGAAUGCAGACUCCACCUCCUGUUUUUUAAGGACACUCCUGACAGCAUUGUUCCCAUUUGACGUGUCCAUUGUGAACAAUCUUUGAGGGACAUCCAAGUAUUCUGGGCCACAAUGCCAGGCUCUUGACAAAAUAUAAGUGGAUGUUAUCUACAUUGUCACACAGGAGCAAUGCUGCAAAAGUGGCCCAUGUGGCAUCCUCCAACAUUGGUGCAAUGCCAAACGUACUUAAAAAAGAAGAAGAAAAAACAGACACAUCCAGAAACCUUAAUGCUCUUUGAUGUUUGAUUUCCAUGACAUGUGUUUAAGGUAUUAUGUUGUUGUUUUUGGUGUGUUCUAUUUUUCUUGAGCAAAGUUUGCUUUCAAG